rnacentral:sRNA from 1 species
CAUGUCUGUCAGACCCAGGCAAUUAUUAAAGAACAAAGCCAGAGGCGAUAACCCCAAAGAAACUCCUUUCCCAUCGAGGAGAUGGACUGAACCCAAUCAGUUAUCCAGAGGGAUAGAAAGCAGGGUGUGAUGACACAGACCAGGCCAUAGUCCUAUCACUGGGAAGCAGAGGCAGGAAGACGAAGACUUCAAGACAAUGGAAGAAGGUGUUACUGGAGUUAGAGACUCUAGUGAAGCCCAGGUGGAUGCUGGAAAUCAAAUCCCCAGUCUUCAGGAAGACCAGUCAGCCUUGUAACUACUGAACCAUCUGGAUCCUGAUCCAGCCCCUCAACUAUAAUGUUAAUUGAUGUCCUUAUCCCAUGGCUUCUGUGAAUCCAUACACUGCUCAAGGAAAGCAAAACCUGUCACUUGCAGAAACCGACAUCUACAAAGUUUACAUUCUGUCUUCCAAAACCAUCUCCCUUUCCCCUAUAUGCAGAUGGACACACAGUAUAAGGGAGAAGAUUCCAACCUUGGUGGUUACAUUGUGUCUAAACUCCACAUUAAUUAUUAAUUAAGUAUUAAUUUCCAGCCUUUUGUGUUUCCAUUGUCAACCAUUCCUUGAACAAGAAGUGGGAUAUUUACUGUGGAUGUAAAAUCACAGCGGCCCUUUUCUCAAAGGCAUAGAAAGCACCAGGAGUUUCUCAAAGCCUUGGUGAAAGGAAGGUUGAAUAA